rnacentral:rRNA from 1 species
GAUGAACGCUGGCGGCGUGCCUAAUACAUGCAAGUCGAGCGAACAGACGAGGAGCUUGCUCCUCUGACGUUAGCGGCGGACGGGUGAGUAACACGUGGAUAACCUACCUAUAAGACUGGGAUAACUUCGGGAAACCGGAGCUAAUACCGGAUAAUAUAUUGAACCGCAUGGUUCAAUAGUGAAAGACGGUUUUGCUGUGACUUAUAGAUGGAUCCGCGCCGCAUUAGCUAGUUGGUAAGGUAACGGCUUACCAAGGCUACGAUGCGAAGCCGACCUGAGCGGGUGAUCGCCCAGCCGGGAACUGAGACACGGCCCAGACUCCGGCAGUGGGAAGCAGUCGAGAAUCCUACGCGAUGGGGCAGUGCCUGAUGGUGGAACGCCGCGGGAGGGAUGAAGGUGUUCUGCUGCGAGAGCGAUGAUAGUAUUGGAGUACAAAUGUUUAAGUACCUGUGAACAUCAUGACGGUACCGGGUGAGAAAGCCACGGCUAACUACGUG